CAUCCCGACUUACCAACCCGAUGCAAACUGCGAAUACCGGAGAAUGUUAUCACGGGAGACACACGGCGGGUGCUAACGUCCGUCGUGAAGAGGGAAACAACCCAGACCGCCAGCUAAGGUCCCAAAGUCAUGGUUAAGUGGGAAACGAUGUGGGAAGGCCCAGACAGCCAGGAUGUUGGCUUAGAAGCAGCCAUCAUUUAAAGAAAGCGUAAUAGCUCACUGGUCGAGUCGGCCUGCGCGGAAGAUGUAACGGGGCUAAACCAUGCACCGAAGCUGCGGCAGCGACACUAUGUGUUGUUGGGUAGGGGAGCGUUCUGUAAGCCUGCGAAGGUGUCUCGUGAGGGAUGCUGGAGGUAUCAGAAGUGCGAAUGCUGACAUAAGUAACGAUAAUGCGGGUGAAAAACCCGCACGCCGGAAGACCAAGGGUUCCUGUCCAACGUUAAUCGGGGCAGGGUGAGUCGACCCCUAAGGCGAGGCCGAAAGGCGUAGUCGAUGGGAAACAGGUUAAUAUUCCUGUACUUGGUGUUACUGCGAAGGGGGGACGGAGAAGGCUAUGUUAGCCGGGCGACGGUUGUCCCGGUUUAAGCAUGUAGGCGGAGGUUCCAGGUAAAUCCGGUACCUUAUUAACGCUGAGGUGUGAUGACGAGGCACUACGGUGCUGAAGUAACAAAUGCCCUGCUUCCAGGAAAAGCCUCUAAGCAUCAGGUAACAUCAAAUCGUACCCCAAACCGACACAGGUGGUCAGGUAGAGAAUACCAAGGCGCUUGAGAGAACUCGGGUGAAGGAACUAGGCAAAAUGGUGCCGUAACUUCGGGAGAAGGCACGCUGAUAUGUAGGUGAAGUGGUUUACCCAUGGAGCUGAA
rnacentral:rRNA from 1 species